UUUUACUAUUUACAAAUAAUAAUAUUUUAUUACUAAAUUUUAUUUAAAAUUUAAUAUUUCAAAUUUAGUUUAAAUUUAAAUAUUAAAUUUUGAUUUUAAAAAUUGAUAAAGAGUUUAAAAUUUGAUAUUUUAAUUUAAAAUUUUAAAAUUUAUAAAAUUAAUAUUUACAAUUUUAAUGUAAUAUUCAUAUUUAAAUUUAAAAUUUAAAACUUAAAAUUCAAAAUUGAAAUUCAUUAUUUAAAAUUUUAAAAUGUGGAAUUUAAAUUUAAAUUUUAAAUUUUUUAAUUUUAGAACUUGAAAAAUCAAAUUUAAAUCUAAAUAUAAAAUUUGAAAUUUGAAAUAUAAAAUGUAAAAUUAUAAAUCUAAAUUUAAAAUUUUAUACCUGAAUUUUAGUUUUUAAAAUUUAAAGUUUGAAAUAUAAAAAUUAAA
rnacentral:lncRNA from 1 species